AUUAACGCUGGCAGAGUGCAUAACACAUGCAAGUCGAGCGGUGCUUGCAGCGUAUCGCAAGCGUAGCGGCAAACGAGUGAGUAACACGUAAGCAAUCUGCCCCCGAAUGGCGAACAACCCUCCGAAAGGAGAGCUAAUACGCCGUAUAAUCCCCAGAAGGCAUCUUCAGGGGAUGAUAGGCCCGCAAGGGCUGUUCGGGGAGGAGCUUGCGGCCCAUCAGCUUGUUGGCGGUGUAAUAGACCACCAAGGCUAUGACGGGUACCCGGCCUGAAAGGGCGGACGGGCACGAAGGCACUGAGACACGGGCCUUACUCCUACGGGAGGCAGCAGUGGGGAAUUUUGGACAAUGGGCGAAAGCCUGAUCCAGCAACUCUGCGUGAGGGACGAAGUCUUUCGGGAUGUAAACCUCUUUUAUCUGGGACGAAUGCCCGAAAGGGUUUGACGGUACCAGGUGAAUAAGCCAC
rnacentral:rRNA from 1 species